rnacentral:rRNA from 1 species
UACGGAGGGUGCGAGCGUUGUCCGGAAUCACUGGGCGUAAAGGGCGCGUAGGCGGCCUGGUAAGUAGGGGGUGAAAUCCUGCGGCUUAACCGCAGGGCUGCCUUCUAAACUGUCAGGCUAGAGCACGGUAGAGGCAGAUGGAAUUCCCGGUGUAGCGGUGGAAUGCGUAGAGAUCGGGAAGAACAUCAGUGGCGAAAGCGGCGCGCUGGACCUCUUCUGACGCUGAGGCGCGAAAGCCAGGGGAGCGAACGGG